UUGGAAAUAGGGCUAAUUGUGUCAUCAAGGGAACAGUACAGAGGAGAUUAGCAUAACCCAUGCUAAAGGAUGAUAAACACAAAUCAAGAAAUGGUUGUUAUCAAG
rfam:Nicotiana sylvestris Nsyl_contig161053, whole genome shotgun sequence.